AUUGAACGCUGGCGGCAGGCCUAACACAUGCAAGUCGAACGGCAGCACAGAAGAGCUUGCUCUUUGGGUGGCGAGUGGCGGACGGGUGAGUAAUGUCUGGGAAACUGCCCGAUGGAGGGGGAUAACUACUGGAAACGGUAGCUAAUACCGCAUAACGUCGCAAGACCAAAGUGGGGGACCUUCGGGCCUCACACCAUCGGAGGUGCCCAGAUGGGAUUAGCUAGUAGGUGGGGUAAUGGCUCACCUAGGCGACGAUCCCUAGCUGGUCUGAGAGGAUGACCAGCCACACUGGAACUGGGACACGGUCCAGACUCCUACGGGAGGCAGCAGUGGGGAAUAUUGCACAAUGGGCGCAAGCCUGAUGCAGCCAUGCCGCGUGUAUGAAGAAGGCCUUCGGGUUGUAAAGUACUUUCAGCGGGGAGGAAGGCGGUGAGGUUAAUAACCUUGCCGAUUGACGUUACCCGCAGAAGAAGCACCGGCUAACUCCGUGCCAGCCGCCGCAGUAA
rnacentral:rRNA from 1 species